GAAAUGCGAUACGUAAUGUGAAUUGCAGAAUUCAGUGAAUCAUCGAAUCUUUGAACGCAUCUUGCGCUCUCUGGUAUUCCGGAGAGCAUGUCUGUUUGAGUGUCAUGAAUUCUUCAACCCAACUGUUUCUUGUAAACAGCUGGUGUUUGGAUUCUGAGCGCUGCUGGCUUCGUGCCUAGCUCGUUCGUAAUACAUCAGCAUCCCUAAUACAAGUCUGGAUUGACUUGGCGUAAUAGACUAUUCGCUAAGGAUUCAAUGUUCUGCAUUGAGCCAACUUAAUUAAGGAAGCUUCUAAUUGAAAAGUCUACCUUUAGAUUAGAUCUCAAAUCAGGCAGGAUUACCCGCUGAACUUAA
rnacentral:misc_RNA from 2 species